UCAAACCUGCUUGCGUACGCUUUUGUUCUGGUCGCCUGCGCCGCAUUGGUGGAUAUGGCGGUAGCGUACGACCCCACAUUCUUCGACAUUGGGUUCGGCUGCCCGAAGUCGGCACUGUCCUGUUUUCAGGAAUGCCGAGAUCAGCGUGGGCACCGGGGCGGCUAUUGCAACGGACCUUUCAACAUCGUAUGCACUUGCUACUGAGAUUUGGAAUUAAAGAACUACCGUGCAGCUUGAGAUUGGUUUCGAAGCAGCGUCACCAAUUCGACCACAAUCGCCAUCAUCAUGCGCGUUAUAAAAAUAACGGCUUCCUUGGCUUUCCCAUUCGCCUUCACAUUCAGGCUUUGGUGUUCUAGGAGUACAUUACCUUAAACCGUGUUCCUCAAGGUUAAUGGCUCUAACAGUGGGGCAGUUUCAGUGUGUGUGUGUGUUUGUUUUAAUUUCUGUAAGCAGCGAACAAGUGAAGUAGUUGAGGUUUUGUGGCCUUUGCCAAAAGAAAUUACAGCUAAAAAGAACGCCGUAUGCACAUUUCAUUACGUGAUUCCUUCUUUCAUGCUGUGAAUAUGUUGCUAGUCAAAACUUCUAACCUAUUGUUUGACAAUAAAGAGAUUUGUUCUUCCGA